CUUCUCUCUCCCCUCUCUUUUCCGCCGCCCCACUCUCUCUUUUCUCUCUUUUUUCUCUCUUUUCUCCCAUUCUCUCUCCACUCUCUCUUUUCCCUCUUUUUUCUCUCUUUUCUCUCAUUCUCUCUUCACUCUCUCGGUUCUCUCUUUCUCCCUCUCCCUCUCUCGGCUUUCUCCCUCUCCCUCUCCCUCUCCCUCUCCUCACCGAGCAGCUGCACCUCACCACCGUCCUUGGGAAUCGCAAGACCCCUACCACCACCUCGAGCACGCCGAGCCUCCUCCUGCCGCCAAGGAGCCACAACGAAGAGGAAGCUCAUUUCAAACGUUCCCGACGGUUUUGGACUCCGAUCUAGGUGAUCGUUAAAUCGAGGAAAGGAAUUAGCAUCGGGAAUUGUGGAAUUACGCUCAAGUCAAUAAGGGGAUAAUUCUGCAGGUGCUGAUUAGUGGGGGUUGAGUGACGACUACAGAGGCUUGAAGUCGUUCUUAUCCUACUUGUGGUGAGGUUUUAGCGUGGGUUUGUGUGUGAGAAGCUGUGUAAUUUCAUUUGUGAGAUUUGUGAGUGAUUUGUGAGGAUUAUUACAUUUCCAUUUUAUGUAUGGAUUAUAAAUUUGGGUUGUAAUAAUUGGUUGACUGAGUUGUAUUGAGAACUCAGAAUUG